CCACGUCAACUGAUCUCAGUGAAGUUAGAGAUGGGUGUUGGCUGUCAUACGAACUCAGGAGAAACACACCGAAAAGCUAGCUAUUGUGGUGGGAGGUUGUAAUAGAUCGUAAUUUCUUUGAUGGAUUCUUCUUACUUAAAUCUGAGUUCUUCUACAGUAAAAGUCUUAAAGGUAAAACUUGUCGAUCAGAUAAGAUAUUUCAGUUCUGGCUCUAAGCUCUUGCGGCUCCGAGAAUAGAACUUAGAUAAAUAGAGCCUCAUUAGGCUUUUACAAUGAGGUUUUUUCCGGAAAGGCUACUAAGAGGUUUUUUUCCUAAGUCUAAGUCGCCCAAGGAAAGAGGCUGUCUAGAAGGCUGCUGGUUAGGAA
rnacentral:misc_RNA from 1 species